GAGUAAUGUCUGGGAAACUGCCUGAUGGAGGGGGAUAACUACUGGAAACGGUGGCUAAUACCGCAUAACGUCGCAAGACCAAAGAGGGGGACCUUCGGGCCUCUUGCCAUCAGAUGUGCCCAGAUGGGAUUAGCUUGUUGGUGAGGUAACGGCUCACCAAGGCGACGAUCCCUAGCUGGUCUGAGAGGAUGACCAGCCACACUGGAACUGAGACACGGUCCAGACUCCUACGGGAGGCAGCAGUGGGGAAUAUUGCACAAUGGGCGCAAGCCUGAUGCAGCCAUGCCGCGUGUAUGAAGAAGGCCUUCGGGUUGUAAAGUACUUUCAGCGGGGAGGAAGGUGUUGUGGUUAAUAACCGCAGCAAUUGACGUUACCCGCAGAAGAAGCACCGGCUAACUCCGUGCCAGCAGCCGCGGUAAUACGGAGGGUGCAAGCGUUAAUCGGAAUUACUGGGCGUAAAGCGCACGCAGGCGGUCUGUCAAGUCGGAUGUGAAAUCCCCGGGCUCAACCUGGGAACUGCAUUCGAAACUGGCAGGCUUGAGUCUUGUAGAGGGGGGUAGAAUUCCAGGUGUAGCGGUGAAAUGCGUAGAGAUCUGGAGGAAUACCGGUGGCGAAGGCGGCCCCCUGGACAAAGACUGACGCUCAGGUGCGAAAGCGUGGGGAGCAAACAGGAUUAGAUACCCUGGUAGUCCACGCCGUAAACGAUGUCUACUUGGAGGUUGUGCCCUUGAGGCGUGGCUUCCGGAGCUAACGCGUUAAGUAGACCGCCUGGGGAGUACGGCCGCAAGGUUAAAACUCAAAUGAAUUGACGGGGGCCCGCACAAGCGGUGGAGCAUGUGGUUUAAUUCGAUGCAACGCGAAGAACCUUACCUGGUCUUGACAUCCACGGAACUUUCCAGAGAUGGAUUGGUGCCUUCGGGAACCGUGAGACAGGUGCUGCAUGGCUGUCGUCAGCUCGUGUUGUGAAAUGUUGGGUUAAGUCCCGCAACGAGCGCAACCCUUAUCCUUUGUUGCCAGCGGUCCGGCCGGGAACUCAAAGGAGACUGCCAGUGAUAAACUGGAGGAAGGUGGGGAUGACGUCAAGUCAUCAUGGCCCUUACGACCAGGGCUACACACGUGCUACAAUGGCGCAUACAAAGAGAAGCGACCUCGCGAGAGCAAGCGGACCUCAUAAAGUGCGUCGUAGUCCGGAUUGGAGUCUGCAACUCGACUCCAUGAAGUCGGAAUCGCUAGUAAUCGUGGAUCAGAAUGCCACGGUGAAUACGUUCCCGGGCCUUGUACACACCGCCCGUCACACCAUGGGAGUGGGUUGCAAAAGAAGUAGGUAGCUUAACCUUCGGGAGGGCGCUUACCACUUUGUGAUUCAUGACUGGGGUGAAGUCGUAACAAGGUAACCGUAGGGGAACCUGCGGUUGGAUCACCUCCUUACCUUAAAGAA
rnacentral:rRNA from 1 species